rnacentral:lncRNA from 1 species
AAUCAUCAUUAAUAUGUUAGAAUUUUUAUUAUAGUGUAAUGAUAGAUACAAAAUGCUUAUUCAUAUAAUGUUACAAUUUACAUCAGUUUUCUUUAUCCAUAUCCCUCCUUUGUAACGCUUCUAUGACAGCCUUCUUUGAACACAAAAUGUGGAGUGGAAUGUUUAAACCGAUGCAGCGAGUCAUUGUUGACAGCACCCUCCUGGGCCACACCACCAGUGAAUGAUUGACUCCACGCUCAUAAAGUCUUUAGAUGAAUAUAGUUUGCUUGGGAAACAGAUGAUUAGGACGAAAGCAAUGCCCCUCUUCUUUGUUUGAGGUAAAAGGUGGGCAAAAGAGUAUGUGGAGCUGCAUUCUUGAGAAGCAGAAGCAGAGAAAAAAGUCCUCCGGAUGGUAGUCAAAAUGAUGUUUUGAUUUCAAUUGCUUAGAGCACGAGCAGCAUGCCAUCAUUGAGGUUUGAGCAAGUUAGCUUUAUAUGGUGAUCUUAGAUGCUUGAGAAGCAAACUUUAAGAUAAUCUUCACACCAAUGCACAAAGCACUUGACCAUUAAGCUUAUGAAGCAUUAAUAUAUAAAGAUAAAUAUUCUAUCCACUCAACAGGAACUCAGCUAAGAUAUUAAGGACUAACCAUGCUGCCAUUCUUUGAUGUCUCUUUCACUACCAAAACGUCUUCCUUCCACCACUACAAGCACUACCUCAUCAUUUUAACUUGUCAGCACUACAAAUUGAUGAGAUUGGUGGUAGUGGAAGCAUCACUGGCUAUGGCUAUUGAUUACUUCAAAGCGAAAAUGGAGUUGGGGUCCCCAACCUUUCUACAAGUGUUGGCCAGUUUUGGGAUGUGCCUCCGAUGGCAUGUUAGAAGAUAAAGACUUCCCAUCCCCCUACCUAACUUAUGCCAUUGUUAAAAAAUAUAGGACCUCUGUAUUGGUACACUAGGUGGAAUUUGAACUUAAAAGUCAUUUUCUGAGUAAUAUAGGUUGGAGGUACAUUUACACCUACCACGAGCUACAAAGCUCAUGAUCAUGGGAUCAAUUGAACCUACUAUAAUGUUGGGGGCGCACCAAUAGUUGUAUGAUUCGAAUCCAGAAGGUGGUGAGAAUGAUUCGAGUACUAGUUUGAACCCCCAAAGCUUAUAAAUUUGAUGUAAGAUCCCAUACAAAAUAAAUUU